AUCGAACGCUGGCGGCAGGCCUAAUACAUGCAAGUCGAGCGAGCGGCGGACGGGUGAGUAAUGGCUGGGAAACUGACUGAUGGAGGGGGAUAAAUACCGGAAAAGGUAGCUAAUACCGCAUUCAAUCAGAUGUGCCCAGAUGGGAUUAGCUAGUAGGUGGGGUAACGGCUAACCUAGGCGACGAUCCCUAGCUGGUCUGAGAGGAUGACCAGCCACACUGGAACUGAGACACGGUCCAGACUCCUACGGGAGGCAGCAGUGGGGAAUAUUGCGCAAGGGGCGCAAGCCUGAUGCAGCAAUGCCGCGGGUGUGAAGAAGGCCUUCGGGUUGUAAAGCUCUGUCGGCGGGGAGGCGUUACCCGCCGAGGAAGCACCGGCUAACUCCGUGCCAGCAGCCGCGGUAAUAC
rnacentral:rRNA from 1 species